AGUGAACGCUGGCGGCAGGCCUAACACAUGCAAGUCGAACGGCAGCACAGCAGUAGCAAUACUGUGGGUGGCGAGUGGCGGACGGGUGAGGAAUACAUCGGAAUCUGCCUUAUCGUGGGGGAUAACGUAGGGAAACUUACGCUAAUACCGCAUACGACCUACGGGUGAAAGCGGAGGACCUUCGGGCUUCGCGCGAUAAGAUGAGCCGAUGUCGGAUUAGCUAGUUGGCGGGGUAAAGGCCCACCAAGGCGACGAUCCGUAGCUGGUCUGAGAGGAUGAUGAGCCACACUGGAACUGAGACACGGUCCAGACGCCUACGGGAGGGAGCAGUGGGGAAUAUUGGACAAUGGGCGCAAGCCUGAUCCGGCCAUGCCGCGUGGGUGAAGAAGGCCUUCGGGUUGUAAAGCCCUUUUGUCCGGAAAGAAAAGCAUCGGGUUAAUACCUCGGUGUUCUGACGGUACCGGAAGAAUAAGCACCGGCUAACUUCGUGCCAGCCGCCGCGGUAACAC
rnacentral:rRNA from 1 species